AGUGAACGCUGGCGGUAGGCCUAACACAUGCAAGUCGAACGGCAGCACAGUAAGAGCUUGCUCUUACGGGUGGCGAGUGGCGGACGGGUGAGGAAUACAUCGGAAUCUACUUUUUCGUGGGGGAUAACGUAGGGAAACUUACGCUAAUACCGCAUACGACCUACGGGUGAAAGCAGGUGAUCUUCGGACCUUGCGCGAUUGAAUGAGCCGAUGUCGGAUUAGCUAGUUGGCGGGGUAAAGGCCCACCAAGGCGACGAUCCGUAGCUGGUCUGAGAGGAUGAUCAGCCACACUGGAACUGAGACGCGGUCCAGACUCCUACGGGAGGCAGCAGUGGGGAAUAUUGGACAAUGGGCGCAAGCCUGAUCCAGCCAUACCGCGUGGGUGAAGAAGGCCUUCGGGUUGUAAAGCCCUUUUGUUGGGAAAGAAAAGCAGCAGGUUAAUACCCCGCUGUUCUGACGGUACCCAAAGAAUAAGCACCGGCUAACUUCGUG
rnacentral:rRNA from 1 species